UACGAAGGGGGCUAGCGUUGUUCGGAAUUACUGGGCGUAAAGCGCGCGCAGGCGGUUCUUCAAGUCAGAGGUGAAAGCCCAGAGCUCAACUCUGGAAUGGCCUUUGAGACUAGAGAACUUGGGUACGGGAGAGGUGAGUGGAAUUCCGAGUGUAGAGGUGAAAUUCGUAGAUAUUCGGAAGGAACACCGGUGGCGAAAGCGGCGCGCUGGACCUCUUCUGACGCUGAGGCGCGAAAGCCAGGGGAGCAAACGGG
rnacentral:rRNA from 1 species